rnacentral:tRNA from 1 species
GGGGUUGUGGCUCAGCGGUAGAGCGCUCGCCUGGCAUGUGCGAGGCCCUGGGUUCCAUCCUCAGCACCA